CAAGUAUCAUCACUGCUGAGUAUAAAAAAGUUGAAUCAACGAGAAAUUCAAGUGAAAAGCCUAAAAAAAAAAAUUGUAAUGAAGCUAAUACAAAAAAAGUAAUUGAUUUUAGUGCGCAGUCGAACCUAAGCAGUUCUGUGAGUGCUGAUAUAAUGACAACUGAUUUUAUUCAACGCUUACAACACAAAAAUGAAAAAUCAAUAGUUUCAAACUAAUUUAAGCUCAUCAACGCUUGGUCCAUUUGAGCUUCAGGUAGAACAAAAUAGUCCGGCAUGGCUCAAUGCACGAAGAUACCGAAUUACUGCAUCAGAUUGUAAGUCAUUUUAUACAAGCAAAGAUUUAACAAAUUUAAUAAAUACAAAGUUAUGGCAAGAAACAAAAGAUAUUAGUCACUUACCUGCGAUUGCUUACGGUCGAGAAAAUGAAUCAACUGCAAUCCAAGAUUACCUUACGUCUAUUAAUAG